rnacentral:rRNA from 1 species
CCUACGGGAGGCAGCAGUGGGGAAUAUUGGACAAUGGGGGCAACCCUGAUCCACCCAUGCCGCGUGUGUGAAGAAGGCCCUCGGGUUGUAAAGCACUUUCAGUGAGGAAGAACGCCUGGUGGUUAAUACCCAUCAGGAAAGACAUCACUCACAGAAGAAGCACCGGCUAACUCCGUGCCAGCAGCCGCGGUAAUACGGAGGGUGCGAGCGUUAAUCGGAAUUACUGGGCGUAAAGCGCGCGUAGGUGGCUUGAUAAGCCGGUUGUGAAAGCCCCGGGCUCAACCUGGGAACGGCAUCCGGAACUGUCAAGCUAGAGUGCAGGAGAGGAAGGUAGAAUUCCCGGUGUAGCGGUGAAAUGCGUAGAGAUCGGGAGGAAUACCAGUGGCGAAGGCGGCCUUCUGGACUGACACUGACACUGAGGUGCGAAAGCGUGGGUAGCAAACAGGAUUAGAUACCCGAGUAGUC